GUUUCCAUAGUGUGGUGGUUAUCACGUUCGCCUCACACGCGAAAGGUCCUCGGUCCCACACCGGGUGGGAACG
rnacentral:tRNA from 1 species